CUCUCAGUAUUGUGUCACAAAUGCCCAUGAUAGCCAAUAGAAGCUGCACAUCAAAAUUUUCAAGUACACUUUAGAAGUGUAAAGUUGAAUGGUGAUGGAAUGAACCUGUUCUGAAGCAUGUUAAAUCUGCACAUUUGAGUGCUUUGAUGCCAAUGUUCAUUUUACUUCAAGGUUCAACUUUUUGACAACCAUUGGCCGGGUGUAAUACUUAACCUUGAUCACAUGGACAAGGCCAUCAUCUAAGUCUGUCACUUUCCUGCUGCCGUUUGCUUUUCUCCCAUUGCUGCUUUGCGAUUAGUGCUCAGGCUUCAGUCAUACACUACAGUGUUAUGCAUGUAGGAACGUGUGCGUUCCAGGAGAAUAGAGAAAUGGAUAUUUUAAAAGCUCACUCUGCCUGUCUCAUUGCAUUUUAAUUUAAAUAUACUUUUUCAUUAUAUGUUUUUGAUAAUCUUUCUAAUGUGCUACACCUUUUAGCUGUUUGUGAUCUUGAAGAAAAUGCUAAGUGCUUUGGGAUGCCUGGCUAGAUGCUAUGUCUUUAGAGAAAGUGAAAAUGGUGGUUGUUGUCAUGCUGUUGAUCUUCUGCUUAUUUACUCGCAUUACAUGUCGCAAUCAUAACUGUAUUAUUAAGGUUAUGUCAGACUUUCUUGAUAAAUCCUAUUUUUUUAGAUUUAGAAUUUGUAUGAGAGUUUAUCAUUCUUUGCUAAAACACAUCAUGUAACGUCUCACCUUGGGAACAAAUUUUGGAAAAUCUGCAGGGGAAAAUUUUUUUUUGGAAAACUCUGAAGUCUUAAAUGGGAAACUGUGCUUUAAUGUAUGACAAUAAAAGC